ensembl:lncRNA
CUUUAUUUUGCUACUCCCUGCUAGGGUGAAAGGUGAGGUGAUCUCUAUCAGAUAAUUGCUGUAUUACGUAAUUAAUUGGGAGAUAAAAACCAGGUUAUCCCAAUUGCUCGGCGUUAGAGCUGAUUUUGCAACCAGUUAAGAACUCGGGGUCUCGACUCUCCAGAUCUCUGCAAGUGUCAGUGGCACACAGUUAUACACAAAAGGAAACUGAGGUUAUUUCAAAUGAGAAUGAGCGCGGUAGGAAGAGGUGGUGAAAGACUUAUUCUCUGAAAGAGUGGUUAAGUAUUGGAACAAACUGCCUAGGGAAAUGGUGGGGAUACCAUCCCUGGAGGUGUUCUAGAACUGUGGAGAUGUGGCACUGAGGGAUGUGGUCAGUGGGCACGGUGGGUUGGGUUGGGGUUGGCGAUCUUAGAGGUCUUUUCCAAGCUUCAUGAUUGUAUGAAACGAGUCCCCUGAUGAUCAGUCAUGGGCUGAGCUUCUCAGCUGCGCUGAUAUUGGAGCAUGUAUGAGGAGUACCCCCAGGAAAUACAGAGUGAGUGUGUUAAAUGGGUUUCCAAUUGGAAGGGAGGGCUGUGAUGGAGGAGGAAGCUCUGGAGGACCUCACCUGCUUCUGUGCACAGUGCUGGUUCCCCAUGGCCAGGAAGAUGAAUUCACUUUAGGAUAAAUGUAAUGACCAGCUAUUACAGUGAUGAGAACAGAGCAAUUUCCUUACUGAGAGAAGAUUAAGAGCAUAUCUACAUCAUCAUAAUGAGAGACAGUCCUGUCUUUGAGUUCAUAGUCCAGUGCAAAGCGUAAUAGUGAAUUUAUAAUGUUGGAGUUGAAUUUGGGAUUUGCCAAAUUCACUGUCCAAAUGAUCAGAUGUACAUUAUAUAGAAACAAUUACGGAUAACUUCGGAGCCAGUCACAAUGCAGACCAGUGUCUGCAAUGCAAAUGUUUUGGGACACACAGCCCACAUAGGUGCUAUUACGUUACUCCAAGAAGGCUGCUUUCCCAGGGAGACAUACUUAAUGAAGAUCUGAUGAUUUUCGUGUUUGGCUAAGCCAAGCUUCUAUCUAUCACACCUUGCUCCUAACAGGCAGGUCUGCUUUACCACAGUUUUUAAACUGGGAGGAGAGGGAGCGCACACAUUUGUUUCUGAACUUCAGGAGUGAGCGGUGUGGGCUCUGCUUCCCCAUCCCUGGCUGCAUGAAUGAGCUGUGUCUGCUUGUUCUGGUCAUAACUUCUGAACUGCUGACCGGGAGCUGCUAAGUGAUGGCAUGUGGCCACUUCUUCGCUGUAAGCUCCCUAAUUUGAGACGUUCCAGCCGGCCAGGUGGCAGGGAGCUGGGACUGCUUUCUGUGGAGCCGUGUUGUUCUUUGUAACCCCCCACGCUUUGCAAAGCUCAGAGCUCCCACUGCUCGUUGUGCAGUGAUGCCCACGUCCCAGCUGAUGCUGGGGUCCUUGAGGGCAUGCUCCCCUUCAUCUUCCUUGUGCUGCAAAAGGUGUUGAAGUCAGAAGCUGAGCUCAGCUUCUUUGCAUUUGAGCAAGUUGCAUUGGGAGCUCCUUUUUCAGAAGAAUGAGCAAAGGCGCAGUGCUUGCAGAGCUGUGUGCUGGAGCCAAGUGUGGAUCCUGCAGUGUCCCUCCUCCAGAAUCCCCCAACCCAUAAGAGUCAUACUGUGGUCUCUGUUCUACAGCUACAGACGUGGGAAUGCCAAAAAGACUGAGCUCCUUGCUGCCUUUCUGUGCCAUGCUGCAUAAUAACACUGCCACUGCGCUUUAGGCUAGCCUCAAUUACCCCUUGUUAUCAGCACGGAGAUCAAAGCACAUCAUUUAAAGAACAAAUGCAGUAAAUACCUUGAAUUUGUGGAUUGACUUUUUUAGAAAAGCAAAUUGUCAGGACAAGCUCGAGCUAAUCCUGUGCAUUUUGCAUAAAGAACUGGAAAGAGAAAGAGACAUAAGUGUUACCCGAGGUGUCAAUUUGCAUGAUGCGGCGUGAUUUUAUGAUGCUGCUGCUGCCUGUUGUGUAAUCCCCAAUUCCAUGCUUUGGAAUUGCUCUGGGAUCUCUGCACAGGCUCAGAAUAGCUUCCUAUCUCUGGGUGCUGCAGGAGCUCUCAGUCCGCUUUUCGUCUUUAAGAGCUUGCUUGGAUCUUAGUGGUGUGUUAUUAUUUCUGCUUCAGGUUUUGGGGAUUUUUUAGCAUCUCCUUGCAAAGGAAAAGCAGAGGCACUGUUGGACCGUCUGCUGAUGGGCUGCGGUUUAUCAGGCCCUUCCUUCUAGAGGGUUGAUUUCACUAUGGAGCAGCUUUGCUCCAUUAAAACGUAUAGAGUAUUUGAAGGAAGGAGUGUUAAUGAAGUGUCAGGAAACUUUAUUGCUGUCUGGAACUGGGGAAGAGGUGGAGUGAGAGGAAGAGAGGAUAACUGGGAAAAAUCCCAUCCAACAGCAAGGCCGUUACCUUCUCUGACACGUACUGGGAGCUGCUGCUGUUAAAGCAUUGGGAAUAAGGUUCAAGGAUACAGCAAAGCACUCAGCAGAUUUUUCCAUUUUUGUAAAGAUUGUUCUGAUUUACCCCCCUCUCCCUUCCCCCCCCCUUUUUUUUUGCUUUGUUUCGAAGCUUUACUCCCUUUGGAGCUUUCUGGAUAGCCUUGGUGCCAGGUGCUGCUCCCCAUCUCAGAGGCUCCAUCCAGCCUGCCCUUGAGAUGCAUGCUUGCAGUUUGGCUUAUUUCUUCCGUACUCUGCCAGUUUGUUUAAUUAAACUGCUCAAUUCUUCUGAAAAUGGGAAAUGGAAUUACCAUAGGAUGCCUGAAUGCUCUUGGUGCGGGGGGGAUGUAGGGGCUUGGAUGGAUAAAUCAAGCUGUUGCAUUUUGGCUGGGGUGGUGGGCCCCUUGGCUGGGGUAGACACUUCGUUUCUUUAUCACAGAGCAUUUAAUAGCAAAAAAAGGAAGCCAGCAGGGAGCUGGGCUGUGGUGGUCCUCAUCUCAAGCCAGAGCUGAGCCGGGGGCACGACUGGGGUGGCAUCUCCUCAUGGCCACCUCCAGUACAGGGAAGCCAAAUGGCAGCAGACACGGGGUCCUUGUUUGCAUCUCCAACGUGCCUAAUAUUUAGCUCCAAUUUUGUCAGCUUGAGCUGCUGCUGUAAGUGUGUAAAUGUCUUCUGGUUUAUUUGGGCAGCAGAUUUGUUUUGCUUUAUUGGCUCAAAAAUAAAUGGUGCAGCCUAUGCUGUUGGUGCCACUAGCCAGGCUGCUUGCUCAACCGCUGGAGAGCUGUAUUCAGUUCUGCAUUGUCAAUUCAAACUGUACUUCAGCUGGUGUGGUUUUGCCUUAUAGACCUUAAUUUAUUGCCCCCCCCCCCCCCCCCAAACAGACUAAUAUUUAUUGCUGUGAUUUUAGGAUUUUAGUUGUUAUUUUCUCUGCCACACAGGCACUCUCUGUGCUUGCUUAAAUUGCUGUGGAUAUUCCUGCCAAAGCUAUUGCAUUAAUACCCAUUUCAUGUUGACAUGUAUACAGAAAUUAUGUAUUUUCAUGAAUUAACAAAAAAGUUCACUGCCCAGCACAUGAUCCAUCUGGUGGCUCCACUCACAGCCCUGGGCAUGGGGAAUCUGCCUGGUCUACAGGCCGACUUGCAUCGUUUCUAGUGGACAGAAAACAAAAAACUGUCUCCAUUGCCAGAAGUCGCACCUCCCUGUUUGUUCUGGGAGUGGCGUUUCCUCUUUAAUCACAUUUAUCCUUGUGUUUGCUUACCUUGGUGUAACUCUCUGUUCCACCAUGGAGAUGGAGAGCGCCCCGGGGGACGUUUCUGGGCUCACUCCAUCACGUGUCACCAGGGCGUAUUUCUGGCAAAAAUUAUACUUCCAAGCAUGACAUUUUUUUAGCUGUACAUUUUAAAAAUCAAUUAUUAUUAUAUCUUUUCCUGUCAUGAAUGGUAAUUUUUACUAUUACUUUGUUUGGCCCUAUGUUGUUGCCUGGGGAUGCCUCUUUGCGCUUGAAAGCAAAGGUUUUCAUUAUUGCUGGUGGAAUCAGUGGCACAGUACUUAUAGGAAUCUCUUCCACACUUCACACCUUCUAUCCAGCUGGGCUCAGCUUUGCUGCUAGCUCUUCUGGUGGCUUUUCUGUACCUGAAAACACCAUAGGAAUGUGUCCUAGGACCAACUUCACACCACUCCACUCUGUAGGACCUCAGGAAGAAGUACCCGAGGCUCUCCGUGCACUUUCCCCACUUGUAAAAUUGUAGUAAACACAUCCAAAUGUCAUUAGUAAGUGUUUCGUGCUCCAAGAAUGAGACUAUUAUGUCAGUGCUUUGCAGUGUCGUUAUUUAUUAUCUCGGAGCUAAUGGGAUGCAAUACAAAGAGUGUGGCGUGAUUUCGGAAGCUGGAGGCGUGCCGUGUUUCCUGAUGACAAUGUGAAUGCUUGUGGCUUUUUGGAGCAGCUCGAGAUGUAGAAUUUGAUGAGGAUCCUUCACUGUUGCUCCCAGCUAGUCUCAUCGGGUGGUCGGUGCUUUGUAUUAGCCUAGAAGGUCACCGGAGGAAUUAGCUGGUGUGAAUUUGUGGCUUCCUCAGUAUUAAGAGAUUGUUGACACGCUGUUGGGAAUAGCAUUUCAGGGGGUGAAUGCGUGAGAAAGGCAGCAGGGAGAUACUCGAGCUACAAGAGCACUGAAGUCCUCAAUGGCUGAUUCACUGGGCUUGCAUUUGAAUCCAGAGGGAAGUAGUGAAUAUCUGAACUCACAUUCUCCCUUCCAUUCUUCCUCCAGCCCUUUCUCAGGGUCAGCACUCAUAUGGUGGAGCAUCCUUAGUGGUGUAGCUGGGCUCUGCAGUCUUGUGCUGGGUUUGGUCUCAUCUCCUGAGCUCUGGGGGAAGCACACAGCCCUGUGCUGACAGCAAAGGGAACACGUUUUGGAUGAUGUUCUGAAGCAAAGACCUGGCUGUCCACAGUCACUGAGGUUUUACCUGAUCCAAAAUCAGGGUUGUGAAUCUGUGUUUGUUAGUCUGAUUCCAGGUUGCCAAGAUAUUUUACAUUUCUAGCUCAAAAAUAUUUCAGAGGUGCACAAAUGGCUGCAUCUCGUGCCUUGAGGUGGAUGCUUUUGGCUUAUCAUCUUCAAAAACUGUCUACUUCUAGAAAGUUUUUAAUGAAGACUUACAUCCCUCCACUCCAUGGCCUUUGCUGGCCACAGGCUGGUCCUGACUUUCAACUCCUUGAAAGGGUAGAUAAUAGCAGGACAAGGGGAAAUGGUUUUAAGUUGAAGGAGGGAAGAUUUAGGUUGGAUGUCAGGGGGAAGUUCUUUACUAUGAGCGUGGUGAGGUGCUGGAACAGCUGCCCAGAGAGGCUGUGGAUGCCCCAUUCAUCCCUGGAUGUGUUGAAGGCGAGGUUGGAUGGGGCCCUGGGCAGAGCCUGGUCGAGUAUUAAAUGUGGAGGUUGGUGGCCCUGCCAAUAGGGAUGAAGCUUCAUGAUCCUUGAGGUCCCUUCCAACCCAGGUCUUUUUGUGAUUGGCUUUGCAAAGUGCAACUUUUCAGCCCAUUUUGGGGCACGCUUUGAGUGAAAGCCCCCUCCAGUAUGACACUGCUUGCAGCUGUUGGCCACGUGGUUGAGGAGCGCUUUGAGCCCUAAAAACCAUUCUUCUAAUGGGAAAACAGCAAGGAAAGCAUUUAUGAGUCAGAAAGAUGCCCCUACCCAAACUGGUGUCGUUUGACCUCAGUCUGUCUGUAUCUUUGGAAAAGCUGUAGGCUUCCAUGAUUCCUAUAGUGUUAGAUACCAACCCAGGAGCAUUUCCCAUAUCCCACAGCAUCUCCACUCCUCCCCGGGCUGCCCUGUGAGGCAUCUUCACUCCUGCUCUCAGCCAAGGUCAGAGCAAAAUGAUUGGGAAGGUUAAAAUGAAGUAAGAGCAGGUAAUGGAAUAGGGCUUGGUCAAAAUGUUGAGAUGGUUGCCCUAAACUUGGCAACAGGCCUUUAAUAAACAAACUGAGAUAGUAACAGAACGUGCUCGUUGUAUUUUCACAAGCGAAUAAAAUAUUUUGUUGCAGAAAUUGGCUGGUUUGAGGGCUUGGUGGAAGGGUCUGUAAUUGCUGGUUGGCCAACCGGGUAAACAGCGCCCUGUGCGCUGCUGUAAUUGAGGCUGUGUGGGUCAGGCUGUUUAAUUGCUGUCUGCCUGCUUGGAAUAGAAACCUCUCCACAGCCACGGGCACCGCGUCUGAUUGAGUAAACAAGCUGCCUGUCAGCGAGGCGAGGGAGCAGCUCUGGUCCCCUCUCCAGAAAUGUAGGUCCAAAGGGCCCUUGCUCAAGGGCUGCGUCACCAAUCGUGCUUGUGCUGGAAGAUGACAUUAGCAAGCAAGGAGGAUGGAGGCAGAUAAGAAAUGAGGGGUCCCGUGGCUCAUCCUGAGCGUCUCCUCCGUUGCAGCAUCACUUGGAGCACUCAUGCCCUCCCUGGAUGCUGUCUCCUCGUUUCCCUGGUGCUCCUCAGGCAAGCAGCACUCACACUGUGCUUCUGACAUACGGACUCCAUUGUGCUGCAGAAGGCCAAUGAAAGUUAAUAUUUUCCUACUGAGAUUCCAGACAGGAUUUCACAGAGCUAUCAGCCCAUGCGUGGCGCUGGGCUCAUGGCGGCUGCCUGCCUGCAGGCUCUGCACGGCUCCUGGCUGUGCUGUCGUUGGGAAAGGUGGUAAAUCUGUAAAUAAUAAUAAUAAAAGCAGACAGCAGGAUGUAUCCGGACUUCCUUUUCCCGUCUACUGGAGACUGUUUGCAAUACCCACUUGGUUCUUCGUAUCUCCCUCUCACUUGCGUCUUUUUAUGGUACAUCUCCACAUUGUCUCCUAAACUUGCUGUUCCCUGAAGCCACGCUUCCCUGUGGGUGCUGUGUGGGAAAAGCAAAUUGAAAGAAUCUGGAACGAUGAAGUCACCGAGCCACCGCGGAGGAUGGGGCAGAAGCAGCGUUUCCUUGUCCUGUAACCCGCGUGCACUCCGUGCUUUGAUGGCUCCGGCUCCCAGCGCCUCACAGCCAGCCUCACCAGUGUGGUCUGGCUGCUCUGCAGGGCUGCAUGCAGAGGAUUCCAACCCCGCUGGCUGGGUCGGACUGGUGAUGCUGCUUUUUGGACCGCACGCUUUUUGGAGGGGAGGCGUCCUGUUUGUGUUGUGCACACACUUCUCUGACAGUGACAUACGAGAUUAUGGAGCGUGGCUGAUGUUCAAGAUUCCUUCUAACUCGUGAGCUGAGGAUUCCUGUUUAGAAACGCUGUGCAGUGGCUGCAAGAAGAGAAACAAAACAACCCAACCGUUUGCCAUCUUAAAUAUUGCAAACUCCGGUGAGGUGGUGUGAGGUUGUGUGCCUCCAGCUUGGAUUCUGCUGCCCUGUGUUGCUUUCCAAGAAGGUGCUGUUUAUCACAGCCUCGGCUCAUUUGAAUAGCACAGGGUCUUUGAGAGCAAGCUAUCUCCUUCUUUAUCAUCGAAACUGCAAAAUUACUCGGCAGCUCAAACUUGUGGGCUCAAAAACCCAUCCAGCAGAGAAUGAAAAUUUUCCAGGUGAGGAAUAGUGGCUGCUUGUUUUCUCCCCUCCCUUGGAUGGGUUUGUGUCUGGGCAUGAUUUCAGCCCUUCCUUCCUAUUCAGCGGCCCAAACAUUGAAGUGGGUGUGAAACCUGCGAGUGAGGAAGGGAAGUAGCAAGCAACGGGUGUGUGACACUGCUUGGAGGGGGCCUAGAAGAGCUGCCCUUGGGAUGAGCUCCUGGGGGCAGCAGGAGGAAGAGAAGGGGAGGAGGAGGAAGAGCAUUUUCACAGGCAUCCAGGUGGAUGGGUAGGUCAGGGCUUCGCUUCAGUUUGUGAUGGGAAUAAGCAAGACUGGUGAAGCCACUCUGGGCUUUUAUGGGGAUGGUGCUGGGUGUUCCCUGCCCCAAACUGCUCUCUGUGGGCUGUGUUUGGGUGGAAUAUUGCAAAGGGCUCUGCAGUCCUGUGGAAGGAUAAGGGCUGUGCCUAGGGUUUGGGAAUGAGCAGCAUGAAGGUGCAUCCUUGAUCUCCCAGAUUAUGGUUGAUGGAUGUUCCUGAAAGGUAUAGGAGAAGGUUCCAGAAACCAAAGAAUGCCCUGCAGUCCCUACCCUAUCAGUAGUCUCAUGUGAUAUUUGAUGUGCUUUUUAAUGUGCAAAAGGAAUUAAUUUCACCUGGCUGGGACCUCUGGAUUUCAGGUGGCUGAAGUCAGACAUACUGACAUCCGAGGGCAGCGUGCCCUCCUCCCAGUGGUUGCAGCCAGCAGAAUUAGGUGUCUUCAUGGCAGUGAGCAAGGAAAAAGCAUUCCCAGAUAUUAAUGAAUGCCAGAUUUGCCAAAUGAAUGAGCAGGAUUUUUGUUCCUUGGUGAGAAGAGGAAACAACCAUGGUCUUUCUCAGACCAAACCCAACAUUUUAAUGCUCCUCAUCACGUGGAGUGCUCAGCUCUUGGGAAACAAGGGAAAAAAUCUGAGAUCUGAGCCACUGGGUUUUGCUCAUUGUUAUGUUCUGUUGCUGGUCCUUUGUUUGAUCCUGAUGGCAUGGUUUCCUGUUUGGUGUGGGGUGGGUGGGUGCUCCGUACCUGAGCUGUGCCCGGGGAUGAUGCAGGAUGGCAGCACUGCAUCAUCAUUUUUGCAUCACACGAGUUCUGCAAGCUCUUUAAAACACAACUCAAGUUGUGUGCUAUGGAAUGUUGUAUCAGAGGCCACCUGCGGCCAGGGCAGAUGCAUCAGUAGUAUUUUCUGUCUUAAUGCUGUGUGUUCUGAUUUGCAUUUAUUUAAUGGAACUUCAUGCUGCCCUGAUCCUGCAGCAUAUUGCUAGCCCUAUGGAGGGAUGUUAAUGCAAGCUUUUCCCUGGAGGUGUUCAAGGCCAGCUUGGAUGGGGCCCUGGGCUCUAGUGCCUAAUCUCAUGGGUGACAGUCCUGCCCGUAUAAUGGGGUUGGAACUAGGUGAUCUUUGAGGUCCCUUCCAACCCAAGCUGUUCUAUGAUUCAGGCACUGUGAUUCAUGGCUUUAAGCUGGCUUAGAGGAAACACGUAGUGCUCGUUUUCUCUCAUGCUUCUGGUCGGAGCUGCUGAAGGCUGCGUGGCUGAAGUUUUGUGACUCUCCCUGGGAGAGGGGCUGGUCGAGCAGUGCCUGAUGUCUUUUUGCCUCACCUUGAGGGCAGCUCAGGGGAACUGUGCUGCUGUGUAUGUGACAACACGUGGGUCAAGCGGUCUAUUCUAAUGUUUAGCAUCAGAGCUAGGCAGUUAUCAAGCUGGUGGUGUUGACCUGUGCCCCUGGAAGGUAGAGAUAAAUGCCUGGUCUUCCAUUUAACCUAUUGCCAGUUCCCUUCCCAUGCUGGGGGUGCUGGAUGUGGGACACAUGAGAGCAUCCUGCUGCCUCCUCCCCACCAAACCACAGCCAUGUCACUGCGCUGCUGCCUUCCCAUCGCAGCUCCUGAAACCCAAACCCUUCGCUUUGAUUACAGAAACAGUUUGAAAUUUGGCCCUGUUUGACAGAGAUGCUAAGGCUGACUUGUGUCUGCAGAGGAAUGGGGAGGGAUUAGGAUUUGUUGGGAAAAUGCUUUUGCUUUCAGCUUAUUUUUCUUCCUGAGUAAAUAAAUAUCGUAGUAGUGUUAGCAGAUGGGGAUUGCAGAGAGGAGACUAAAAGCCCAGAAAGAAAGCAUGGUUUCUCCUAAUCUUUUUAUUAGGCCAUGACAAUGUAUAGAAUACCUAUAUUGUGCAUACAGCACGUGUCCUUAUAGGGCCGUUACAAUUGAUUUUGCACCGUUGUUAAGCUGUCACUUUGUUUUCUCCUUGAUUAAAGCUGUUUGUUGCUGUACUCUGCAAGAUUCUUGGUGGCAGAGUGUACAGCUAUGGCUCUGAACACAGCAUGGGACACGGGCUCUGCUGUCUGCUGAUGCAGUGAUGCUCAGCACCACCUUCUUGCUCAGACUCUGCUUUGAAUUCCCAUCCUGGUUGUCUCUGGUGGCUUUGCAAAUCAGUUUUUGCACCUCCUGGCAGAAUCACGUGUAUGUCAUUCCCAUCUAUUCCCAUCAAGAAGACUGUGUCCUGGGAGCCCUCUCCUCUCAUUCUUUUAUCACUGGGAAGCUAUUAAGCUAAAAUAGGGUUAUUGCUUCUUAGCAAUUUGUCACCUCUGCCUGUUCCUGCAUAGUUUUCAACCUUUGUUCAAGAUGCAGUAAUUGGUGCAAAUAGGAAAUAGCCCAAAGGAAUAGGAGAUUGAAUUUCAUCUGAAUUGUUCAUGUUUUCUGUAAAGCCAGCUAUGUUGAAUGAUGACUAAAUCGGGAUUAGUAUUUGUAUUUAUGAGACUCAGCAUUUCUUCAUUGAAGGCUGUGUCAUAGAAAACCUUGAACACUCCGGAUGGGAAACACCUCUAAAAUUGUGCUUAUUCAUCUCAUUAAAUCUCCACGUGCACACGAUGGGUGUUUUGCUGGUCCAUCAGAAUUUAUAUGGUUAGUUUCACAACUCCAUCAGAUACUUUUUAUCGCACAGCUCAUUACAUUUAAUGUAGUUCUGUGGGAAGGCAGGAGAUGUAAACUCCAGCAGGCUGUUUGAUAUCAAAAUUAGGUGAGACCAUCUACUUUCCCUGCCUGUUGAUACUUUAAGGUUUCCUGACAGAUAGUUCUCAUUUUCUGUCUGAACAGGGCCAAAAUAAUUUUUCUUUUCUAGGACAGUUAAUUUACUGCAUCUGUAAUCAAAGUAAAUUGAAUGGACUAAAUUCUACCCUAAGACUGGUUUUAUACUCUACCAAGAAAAGUCUUGCUCUUCACCCAUUUUCCAAACACACACGUGUUGCUGAUUCAUAGAUCACAAUACUUGUUAAAUUAAUGACUACUUUCAGGAGGUUUUGAUUUUAAUCUGUGUAGGUGGUCCAGAAAUUGCUUCUCAUCGUUAGGUACUCAUUAACUUUGCACAUCUCCCUUACUGUGUGUGAUGGACACACAAAGCUUCUCAUUAGGUUCAGCAACGUGCCUCCUACUUCUGGGUUGACCUGAUGAACAUGUGCUCUUGAAGCACAGGUCUGAGCCUUUUUGGAGUGUCUGAGACAGGAGGAGCCCUUCUGUAAUGAGUGGUAUUGCUUCAACUCAAGGAGAUCUCCCACUACGUUGCUUUGUGCAGGUGCAUUCGUGGUAUCAGUGGGCAGGGUUUGCCCUACCCAUGCUGUACCAUCAGGGCUCUGGAGAUCUCAGACUUGGGAUGCCUCUUGUUUGUGUUUCAGCUCUUGGUCACAUCUGUCUCUUCCCACUGGGAGUAUUUCUGAGCCAGCAAACUUCUUGGGAACACAUUGUCAUGGAGCUAUCCUGUCUGGUAUCUCUGGUGCUUUGGUAAUGUGAGCGUUAAUUAAUUCUGCAAACACAGUCAUUAGCUCUUUGUCUGGCUGCCCUAAUCUGUCCCUAGUAAUAACCAGAGAAACUGCUCAGUGCUGCCUGGUUUCUUCUCCUGCCCUUUCUUUCCCAUGCCCAAGGUAGGUUUAUGAAGACCUUUACAGACUUUGCACUUUGAGUCUUUCUCUCUGUUUUUUCCAUUUUUUCCCCUAUGCUCCUCAUACCACCUCAGCUCUAACAGGCUUGGAGGUGCAUUUUGUGAGGCAGGCACAGAUGGCCUCCUCAGAGCGGAUCCCUCCAGGCCCGUUGGGUGCCGGUGCUGCGCAUCUGCUCCACCAAACACAGCAGAGCUGUGGGGAGCUCCCCCAUUGGCAGGGGAUGGUGCAGCCCUUUAUCCUUCUCCAUACACCAUUUCUUGAGGGCCACCAGAAAAAAUCCCCAGACCCAAUAUGGGAUUGCCCCUCCUGGGCUGCCUCGAGGUGUUUCCAUGUUGAGAUCAACGCUCGGUGCAGAUCUCAGCUGCCUGCAGCGCUGUAAUAACACUUAUCUUCUCCGUGAUGUAUUGCAGUGCUGAUUUUAUUCCUUCCUGAUCUUUUUGGUGCAUUGUGCAUGUUUUGUUGCCUGCCAACUGUAUUCUGAGCCUCAGAUCCCUUGGGUGGCCCAUUGAGGCCCUCCCAUGCCUGCUUUGAUAUCCCAUGUUUAUCUGAUGGAAAUGAGCCCUUCCGAGAUGGCCCGCUUCACUUUCUUGCCAUGUUUCCCAGCUGUCUUUCUGGACUACUUUUAUAUCCCAUUGCCCCUGGGGCUGUUCAAAGGCUUCUUUGGAGCCUGAAAUCCCUGCGUGUCUCUGAGCUGAGGAAGCCAGGAGAGCAUAUCGGGUGAGUCAUUAGGAUUUACUCUGAAUUUUGACGCCCUGUGUGUUUUCUCUCAUGCUGGCCUUGUAUGUAACACAACCCGGAGUACUCCAGGCCAGCACUGUGUUUUUCUUUUUUCUUUUCCUUUUCCUUUGUUUGUGUUAUGCUUGAUUUGAUAUUCAGACCUCACUCAGUUCUCUUUGGCCGCCUCUUCUGAAUAAGAAGAAUUGUUUCAAGGACCUUGUGGCUCUGGGUUUUUCAGGUAAAUACAUCUCUUUCCUCGUUUAGAAAGGGUAGUUUGAACUUAAAUCAUAAAUGAAGAUAUCUGUUUGAUAAGUGGUAACAAAGGAAAGGCUUGGUAGUCAUGUGAAUAGCCCAGCUGGUCUCAACAUUAUUUUCUCGAUAAAGUUCUGUGGUUUUGAAUGUGUGCUGUUUUUACAGAAAUAAAUUUGAGUUCUAUCACUUAAAACCACGAUAAAUUGGAAUAGAGAUGUCUACUGUAUGGCAGCUUUUAGAUAUCAGAGGAAGCUUAGCAGAAAACCAUGCUUUUUGUGUUAAGGAUGCUUCAGUUGUUUCUGCUGGUCAGGGGGUGGAUUGUGGAUUUGACCCCACUUUUGGAUGCAGAUUCUCCCUGAUGUCUGUUGGCAUCACUUCAUCCACCUCCCUGGGAUUGACUCUGAUGUUUCUUCACAGCUUCUGCUUGGUUUUUAAAGGUGGCUUUGCAGAGGAAAUCUUUCUGUGUGACUUCUGAGAUACUUCACUUCGUGAUGGACAGCGUGAGAUUCUAGAUGUCCUCAUCUGGAAAACCUUCAGUUAUCAGUGACAAAUUCAAAUGUUCUUUUUUUUCCAACCUAGAAAUACCUCAUUUAAAAGGGCAGACUUUUUUGGGGUGUGUCUCAACACCUUGACUUUGUGGUAGUUUGUGGGUGACAAGAGUAAGGGAAAGUUAAGCAAGCCAAUAGAACGUUGGUUUGGAUCUUUGUGCAUCGGUGGGCUGGGUUGGAGAUGCCCAGGAAGGAGGUGAUGGAGAAGUGGCUGGAAGAAGAGGCAGGAAGGCUGGUGUUGUCACAGAGGUUGGGUUGUGGUAGCAGCAUGGUAAGUGCUUGAAUGCAGUGAAGCAGCAGAGCUGCUGACUUGCCCUUUGUCCUUCCUCUUGUGGGUUCCUAUCAAGAACGUGUUGAACAACCUGCAGUUUCAGAGCAAAGCUUCCUCAUACAUUUGUUUUCUGUGCUGUUUUAAUGGCCACAAUAAGAGGAAGAGCUCGGUGAGCAGGGCAUGAGGUGAAUGUGGUAAGGUUGACUGCUGGUGGAGAGCAUCUCAUGUCAGCUGCUAUGCAUGAGCUUCUUUAUGCAACCUGCACUGCAGUGUCCUUCUCUGCUAUAGAACAAAGUUGUUAGAGGAGAAGGGUGUCUGCAUGCAGAGUGAACGCCACGUCCUGCUGUGUUGUGCUAACCUCAUGUACAACUAAUGUGUAUGCUCCCUGCUUCCUCACCCCUUCUGUCUGUCGUGCUUCAAUCAGUGUUCAACCCAAAGCAAUGGUCUUCAUCCAGAUAAGCUUUGAUCAGGUUGGUGCACAUGGUGCAUCUAUUCCCAAGCCACAGGAAAACGAAACAAAUGAAAUCACAAAACCAGAAGAAAAGAGGGCAGCCUUCCCUUGGGGCAGAUUCCCCCAACCUUUUCCAAGCAGGAGAACCAUCGCUCUGCAUGUUGGGUGUGAGUUUGAGCUGAUACCCCACAGUAGUGCCAAGGGGGUCAGGAAGGCAAGAGCUCCCUGUCUGAAUUCAGCUCAAUGGGAAGCAAAUGAAAUGAAACAGAAAAUUCAACGGCGUUAAAGAAAUUUGAAGUUAUUGGCCUUUCCCUGUGCUUUUGUAGGAAAAAAGUUUUCAUGUAUGGCCCCGAUUGAAACUGUAUUUGAUCGCAGUGGUGUGGAUUUUCCAUUGGACGUCUGACAGGGCUGAAGGAACCAACCUACUUGUUGAAAGGGAUGAGCAGAUCUUCCCAGACACUUCGUCCCGAGAUAUGCAAGAAGGAUUUUUAUUUUUUUGGAGCUUUUCUUAAACCAGCAUGCAGAACAGGCAUCUGCAUUUCAUCUAGAGUAUCGUCCAUUUGUUUGGAGAAUGCGGUAUGGCUGAAAGUCCAAGUUUUCUUUGGAUCAGGCCUUUAAGAUUUGGUUUGAUUUAUUUCCAGUGACGCUACUGAAAUGCAGCUUCCUUCUCUUUCUUUUUUUUUUUUUCCAUCUCUGCCGACCUGCUAAGUUAAAAUAAACGUUAGGUUUUGAUGUAUUUCUUUAUUUAUUUUAGUUACCGCAGAGGCAAGAACGUGGAGUGAGAGACUUGGAUGAAAGGCAGGGAGCAGCGGAUUAGCUAGGAGAGGUGCCAGGCUCAGGUGCCCUUGUAGCUUGGGAUGUUGGAGCUGUGUUUUUAGGCUGAUUUUUUUUGUGUUCAUCUUAAAGUCCCAAGCAAAGUGGGUUUUGUGAUGGCUGUUUUUCCAUCUGCACUGCUCGGGGAAGUGGUACAAGGCCAUGGUGGUGAAAUGAGACCCAUUGGCACUGUGGUGAACCCAAUGUGCAGUCCAAGAAGUGAUGGGCUUGCUGAGCAUAGAUGUGAUUUUUCUAUCAAGUGUGUUGCUAGCAUGGGCAGGAUCAGUGCUUUAUGCAUUGCCCACAUUUAAUUAAAUGGUAUGCAUUUAAUAUAUAUUGCAUAAAUCUAAUCUGUUUCCAGUUUUGCUCAUUUCUUGCCUGAGGUGUUUAGUUGUUUCUAAGCCUGGUUGUUGUGCAGUGUUCCCUCACAAAGCACACAGAGAUAAGGCAGCCUGGAUGCUGUGGUUUUAAGGAACUUGACCAAAUUCAUGCACAGAAUUUGGUUCCUAUGCUGGGAAUGUCACCCAGCCCACACUCCCAGCCCUUGCAGUCACUAUGAACAAUUGGGAGCCUAUCCAUUGCGAUGAACAAAGAUGACCCAUUUUGUCCUCUAAGCUGCCUUGCUUUAAAUAAGGAAAAAAAGCCACCGCUAUUGUAUGCUCGUGAGCUGUGAUUGCAUGCUUGUGGGCCGGACUGCCCUUGCAGCAGGGAAAUCCUGCAUCCCUGAGGAUGCUCAGCCUUGUUCCUGCCUUUGGGUUCCCAGGGAUGCUGG